GGUCAAGACCCACAGGGUUGAGAACCGCUGACUUCCAGUCUUUGUUGUUAACUAUCAAGAUCCUCAGCUAAAAUGAAAGGUCCCUGUUUUAGUUUCUUGCCUGCCUUGGUUUCCCUGGAUCAAGCCAAGAAAUCCUUUUCUCAUGUGCAAGGUGAUUUGGGUCAGUGUUUUAUCACAGCAACAGAAAGCAGACUACAACAUCAGAUGUUCAAGGAGAAAUGAGAAGAUGUACCCUCUCUGUCAGCAUAGGAAUAUUCUACUUGUAAAUUUAUUAGCUCUAUAAAUUAACUAGCUCCUCAAAUGGUCUCUAUUUCAACAGCAGUUUCUUAUCAGAGUACACAAAUGUAAAACUCAGUUCUGAAAAUAUAAAGCAACUUUCCCAAGA